rnacentral:rRNA from 1 species
UACGUAGGGGGCAAGCGUUGUCCGGAAUUAUUGGGCGUAAAGAGCGCGUAGGCGGUCCGAUAAGUCGGCUGUGAAAGUCAGGGGCUCAACCCUUGAAAGCCGGCCGAUACUGUCGGACUAGAGUCCGGAAGAGGCAAGUGGAAUUCCCGGUGUAGCGGUGAAAUGCGCAGAUAUCGGGAGGAACACCAAUGGCGAAGGCAGCUUGCUGGGACGGUACUGACGCUGAGGCGCGAAAGCGUGGGGAGCAAACAGGG